ACCGGAGCGGGGGGGGGGAAAGGGCGGGGUAGGGCGGCUGAAAGGGCGUCCGGCCACACUGGGACUGAGACACGGCCCAGACUCCUACGGGAGGCAGCAGUGGGGAAUAUUGCACAAUGGGCGAAAGCCUGAUGCAGCGACGCCGCGUGAGGGAUGACGGCCUUCGGGUUGUAAACCUCUUUCAGCAGGGAAGAAGCGAAAGUGACGGUACCUGCAGAAGAAGCGCCGGCUAACUACGUGCCAGCAGCCGCGGUAAUACGUAGGGCGCAAGCGUUGUCCGGAAUUAUUGGGCGUAAAGAGCUCGUAGGCGGCUUGUCACGUCGGUUGUGAAAGCCCGGGGCUUAACCCCGGGUCUGCAAUCGAUACGGGCAGGCUAGAGUUCGGUAGGGAAGAUCGAAAUUCC
rnacentral:rRNA from 1 species